CCUACGGGGGGCAGCAGUGGGGGAUAUUGCACAAUGGAGGGAACUCUGAUGCAGCGACGCCGCGUGAGGGAAGAAGGUUUUCGGAUUGUAAACCUCUGUCUUCGGUGACGAAACGAGACGGUAGCCGAGGAGGAAGCCACGGCUAACUACGUGCCAGCAGCCGCGGUAAUACGUAGGUGGCAAGCGUUGUCCGGAAUUACUGGGUGUAAAGGGAGCGUAGGCGGGAAAGCAAGUUGAAUGUUUAAGGUACGGGCUCAACCUGUACAAGCGUUCAAAACUGUUUUUCUUGAGUGGAGUAGAGGUAA
rnacentral:rRNA from 1 species